GCAACAUCACACUGAAACACCAGUUCUCGUAUGAUCGCUGAAGUUAAGCAAUGUUGAGACUGGUCAGUACCUAGAUAGGUGACUGGUUGGGAAUAUAAGGUGCUGUAA